AGCCUCGAGUGUGCUCAUUCGUUGUUCAUAUUCCUUUGGCCUUUAUCUUCCUUUAACAUCUACUAUUUUCCCCCCCUCUUUCUUGCCCUUUUUUGUCUUGCAUCACUUCCUGCCUUGAGCCUCGAGUGUGCUCUUUCGUUGUUCAUAUUCCUUUAAUUAUUGAUGUUUUAGAUGCUAUUUUUUUUUUCAUUGCAUCCGUGCUUGUUUCUUUUUUGUUUUGUUUCCUUUUUUUAGAGGGUAUUUUUAUAGCAGUUUUUUGUUGUAUUUGUGCUUUUUUCUCGAGUUUUCCUAUCUUAAAUGCAUUGAUUUUUUUUUUUGCUACAUUGGUUUUAGUUUUGCCUUUCUUUUCCUCGACUGAAAUCAUUAUUGGUGAUUUUAAGGCGUGUUGGGCAUUUUUAUAUCAAUUCAAGUGUUUAGGUUUGAAUAAGGGUUUGGUGCAUUUUGUUGGGUUAUUCAAUUGUGGUAAGUUAUACUAUUAUAGUAGAUUGUAGGGUUUUUUUUUUUUUUUUUGGUAUUUCCAUACUCUUUGGUCUUUUACAUACUAAUCCCUAAUGAGUUGACAGUGUAAUCUUGCAAAACUACUUAAUCUCUUGCUAAAAAACUGAAAAAUAAUUGCAAAUCCUUGCAAAAUUUACUAACAUGGGUUGCUUCUCUGUUAAAGAGAAACUUUUCUUCUUUCAUAUUACAGUAGAUUACAUUUGUAUUUUCAUAAUUUUGUUAUUAAUUAAAGCUAUGUACACUUUCGUCUUUUUACAUAUUAAUUUCUGUUGAGUUAUCAGUGUGAUAUCUGCAAAUCAACAUAAAUCUUCUACCAAAUCUCUGAAAAAUCUUUGCAAAUCCCUGCAAGAUUUACUAUCAGUCAGUUGGUUCUUGCUUUCUUGCAGGGGUUUCGGCUGUCCCUUGGUAAACUAUUGGGAUUAAUGGCUGCAUUUAGUUGAGGUUGUUCAGUGUUAUUUAGCUAAGUAUAUAAAUAGCCUUUAAUUCAUCAGUUUCAUUUAUUGUUGGUUUUUUUCUCUAAAUCAAGGUUACUUUGCAUUCCUUUUUAAAUGGGUUUAUGUUGUUUCCUCUGCUUUUCUUUUGUACUAUCAUUUGGUUUUUUGUUUACUCUUCCUUUUGCUGAUAUUGUUGUCCUUUUAUUUGGUAUAGGUGCUGUCGGAAGUCUGUGCUUAUUUAUAGAGGUGAUUCACCUAAGCUGUUUUCUAUCUAGAGCAAUGUAAGUUCCUAUGAUCCUCAACAAAUAGAAGUCAGGGUUUGAGGUUGAUGAGAUAAAAGGUGGUGUGGCUAGUGGAAGCAUCCCCUAGUAAGCAAAGGCCAUUCAGCAACAAGUCGACAGACUCACAGAAGACAUAAAUGUCAUCCAAGGAGAGAGAGUGAAUGAAGAUAAGAGCGUGAGAGGAUUGAUAUUUUAUUUUUCUGGUUCAAAUCUGAUAUUGAGAAAAAGUCAAGAGUUCUUGAUGAACGAAAGGCAAGGGAAGAAAAAGAUGUUGAAGAAGAAAUGCAGCUCAACAUUGCAAAAGAGUUUGAUGAAUUCAUAUCCCACCAAGGAGGUUUACAGUUGUUUAUGUUUUUGUUUCUCUAUGUGCUUAAGUUUGAUUUAAUUUUUCUUCUUCUAUUGGAUCUUAUCACGUUAAGAUUUCUUUUAUUUUCUUAAUGACCCAUGAACUUGAAGAUGAAGCACACAGGCCCCCACGGCGAGGUUUUAUGUCCUUUGCUCAAUAAUCUUUUUCCCAUUAAUUUGUUUUUUAGAAGUUAUUAAUUUAAUCGGAUCAUGAUGAUCAAGAUUUUGUUUUUGCUGAAAAUCACUUUAAAUAGAUUGCUAUAUUUAUGGUUUUACUUGGUGGUGAUGGUGGUUUGUAUUUGAUCCAUUUGAUCAUUUUGAAGUUGUCUAAUUGAGGAUUUAAUUGAGGAAUGAGUAGUAACAUUUUGAUC